CGCAUCUGUGCAUGCAGCAUAUCAAUAAGCGGAGGAAAAGAAACUAACAAGGAUUCCCUUAGUAACGGCGAGUGAAGCGGGAAGAGCUCAAAUUUGAAAUCUUCAAGGUUUUACCUUGACGAAUUGUAGUUUAAAGAAGUGUUUUCUGUUGAAGUUUUGGUAAAAGUUCUUUGGAAUAGGACAUCAUAGAGGGUGAGAAUCCCGUAUUUGACCAUUAUUUUCAGCUGUGUGAUACACUUUCAAAGAGUCGGAUUGUUUGGGAAUGCAGUCCAAAAUGGGUAGGUAAAUUUCAUCUAAAGCUAAAUAUUGGCGAGAGACCGAUAGCGAACAAGUACCGUGAGGGAAAGAUGAAAAGAACUUUGAAAGGAGAGUUAAACAGUACGUGAAAUUGUCAAAAGGGAAGCGUUUGACACCAGUGUUGUUUUCUCGAAAAUCAAUUAAAAAGAGUUUGAUUUUGUUGUGUAUUGACCUUAACAGCUUGCAUUUCAAUUUUCUUGCUUUUUUUAAUGCACUUUUCGUUUAACAAGUCAACAUCAGUUUCUUUUGUUGUAAAAAGGUCAUUGGAAGGUGGCUUUCUUUUCGGAGAAAGUGUUUAUAGCCUUUGACUCCUGCAAUCGGAGAGACUGAGGUCUGCAGCGUAGAUCCUUCGGGGUUAGAUACAUUUGUGCUAAGUUAUAGCUUUUUAUAGACAACUUGUUGACUAUGAUUAGUCUUGUAGCUUACUCGCUUAUGCUAUUUUACCUACGCUUAGGAUGUUGAUGUGAUACUGCGAGCA
rnacentral:rRNA from 1 species